UUAGUAACUGCGAGUGAAGCGGCAAGAGCUCAAAUUUGAAAUCUGGCGUCUUGCACGUCCGACUUGUAAUUUGGAGAGGCAUCUUGGAGAUGGUGCGGUCCCAAGUUCCUUGGAACAGGACGUCGCAGAGGGUGAGAAUCCCGUGCCUGGGCAGCUACCCAUCUUCAUUUCAGGGUGUUUUCGACGAGUCGAGUUGUUUGGGAAUGCAGCUCAAAAUGGGUGGUAAAUGUCAUCUAAAGCUAAAUAUUGGCGAGAGACCGAUAGCGCACAAGUAGAGUGAUCGAAAGAUGAAAAGCACUUUGAAAAGAGAGUCAAAAAGUACGUGAAAUUGCUGAAAGGGAAGCGCUUGAGAUCAGAUUCAAUUCCCUGAUGUUACCCCGGGCUUUUGUUCGGUAAUCAAUGUCUUGGAUUGUGCCAGCAUCGGUUUUGGCGGUGGGAUAAACGGCCGGGGAAUGUAGCUUCCUCCGGGGAGUGUUAGAGCCCUGGCCACAAUGCCAUCAGCUGGGACCGAGGACCGCGCUUUGGCAAGGAUGCUGGCGUAAUGGUCUUAAGCGACCCGUCUUGAAACACGGACCAAGGAGUCUAACAUCUAUGCGAGUGUUUGGGUGGAAAACCCUUGCGCGAAAUGAAAGUGAACGGAGGUGGGAACCCGCAACGGUGCACCAUCGACCGAUCCUAAUGUCUUCAGAAGGAUUUGAGUAAGAGCAUAGCUGUUGGGACCCGAAAGAUGGUGAACUAUGCCUGAAUAGGGUGAAGCCAGAGGAAACUCUGGUGGAGGCUCGCAGCGGUUCUGACGUGCAAAUCGAUCGUCAAAUUUGGG
rnacentral:rRNA from 1 species